rnacentral:rRNA from 1 species
UGGCAGUGCGGCAGCUAUACAUGCAGUCGAGCGGACAGAUGGGAGCUUGCUCCCUGAUGUUAGCGGCGGACGGGUGAGUAACACGUGGGUAACCUGCCUGUAAGACUGGGAUAACUCCGGGAAACCGGGGCUAAUACCGGAUGGUUGUUUGAACCGCAUGGUUCAGACAUAAAAGGUGGCUUCGGCUACCACUUACAGAUGGACCCGCGGCGCAUUAGCUAGUUGGUGAGGUAACGGCUCACCAAGGCGACGAUGCGUAGCCGACCUGAGAGGGUGAUCGGCCACACUGGGACUGAGACACGGCCCAGACUCCUACGGGAGGCAGCAGUAGGGAAUCUUCCGCAAUGGACGAAAGUCUGACGGAGCAACGCCGCGUGAGUGAUGAAGGUUUUCGGAUCGUAAAGCUCUGUUGUUAGGGAAGAACAAGUGCCGUUCAAAUAGGGCGGCACCUUGACGGUACCUAACCAGAAAGCCACGGCUAACUACGUGCCAGCAGCCGCGGUAAUACGUAGGUGGCAAGCGUUGUCCGGAAUUAUUGGGCGUAAAGGGCUCGCAGGCGGUUUCUUAAGUCUGAUGUGAAAGCCCCCGGCUCAACCGGGGAGGGUCAUUGGAAACUGGGGAACUUGAGUGCAGAAGAGGAGAGUGGAAUUCCACGUGUAGCGGUGAAAUGCGUAGAGAUGUGGAGGAACACCAGUGGCGAAGGCGACUCUCUGGUCUGUAACUGACGCUGAGGAGCGAAAGCGUGGGGAGCGAACAGGAUUAGAUACCCUGGUAGUCCACGCCGUAAACGAUGAGUGCUAAGUGUUAGGGGGUUUCCGCCCCUUAGUGCUGCAGCUAACGCAUUAAGCACUCCGCCUGGGGAGUACGGUCGCAAGACUGAAACUCAAAGGAAUUGACGGGGGCCCGCACAAGCGGUGGAGCAUGUGGUUUAAUUCGAAGCAACGCGAAGAACCUUACCAGGUCUUGACAUCCUCUGACAAUCCUAGAGAUAGGACGUCCCCU